GCCUUCGUGGUGUAAUGGUCAGCACACUCGGCGCGUAUUCGAGACAUUCGAGGUUCGAAUCCCGGCAAGGGUA
rnacentral:tRNA from 1 species